GACGAACCGUGCGAACGUUGUUCGGAAUCACUGGGCGUAAAGGGUGCGUAGGCGGGUCUUUAAGUCAGGGGUGAAAUCCUGGAGCUCAACUCCAGAACUGCCUUUGAUACUGAGGAUCUUGAGUUCGGGGAGAGGUGAGUGGAACUGCGAGUGUAGAGGUGAAAUUCGUAGAUAUUCGCAAGAACACCAGUGGCGAAGGCGGCUCACUGGCCCGGUACUGACGCUGAGGCACGAAAGCGUGGGGA
rnacentral:rRNA from 1 species